GCUUCCGUAGCUCAGUAGGUUAGAGCGUCGUGCUAAUAACGCGAAGGUCCUGGGUUCGAUCCCCAAGGGAAGCA